UACGAAGGGGGCUAGCGUUGCUCGGAAUGACUGGGCGUAAAGAGCUCGUAGGCGGUCUGUUACGUCUGCUGUGAAAACCCAGGGCUUAACCCUGGGCUUGCAGUGGAUACGGGCAGACUAGAGGCAGGUAGGGGAGAAUGGAAUUCCCGGUGUAGCGGUGAAAUGCGCAGAUAUCGGGAGGAACACCGGUGGCGAAGGCGGUUCUCUGGGCCUGACCUGACGCUGAGGAGCGAAAGCGUGGGGAGCGAACAGG
rnacentral:rRNA from 1 species